CGGGUCGUGGCGCAGUUGGUAGCGCGCUUGCAUGGGGUGCAAGAGGUCGUGGGUUCAAGUCCCGCCGAUCCGACCA
rnacentral:tRNA from 1 species